rnacentral:rRNA from 1 species
CAACGUGGGUAACCUGCCCAUCAGAGGGGGAUAACAUUCGGAAACGGAUGCUAAAACCGCAUAGGUCCUUUAACCGCAUGGUUGAAGGAGGAAAAGAGGCGCAAGCUUCUGCUGAUGGAUGGACCCGCGGUGCAUUAGCUAGUUGGUGAGGUAACGGCUCACCAAGGCCGUGAUGCAUAGCCGACCUGAGAGGGUGAUCGGCCACAUUGGGACUGAGACACGGCCCAA